CCUGGAUUAUCCUACAAAUAGUCAUAUGUUUGUCUUAAAUAUUAAGCCAUGCACGUCUAAUUAUGGACUAAUCCAUACUGUGAAACUAAAAAUGGAUAAUUAAACUACUUUUAGUAUCUUUGAUGUUACCUUAUUACUCAAAUAACUAUAUUAAUUAUAGAUCUAAUACAUUCACCAAGUCUCAACUCUUUAGAAGGGAUACAUUUAAUAGAUAAAAAUUUAGUAUGGGCUUGCUUGCUUCUUUGGUGAAUCAUGAUAACUCAAAAAAUUGCAUCGCCCUUAUGUUGGUGAUGCUUCAUUCAAAUUUGUACCCUAUAAAAUUUCAAUGGUAGGAUAUAGACCUUCAAUGGUGGUCAUGGGUUAUGGAGAAUUAGGGUUUGAUUAUGGAGACAGAGCUUGAGAAAUGACUACCACAUUCAAGGAAGGAAACAAGGAUGGAAAUUCUAAUCCUGACAUAGGGAGGUAAUGGAAAUACAAAAAAAUGUUGGGAUAAUCGAUUCUAGUAAUUGGAAUGUGUACAAUCUAAAAACCUUAAUGAGGAUCCAUUGGAGGGAAAUUUUAGUGCUAACGACCAUGGUAAUUCCUACUCUAAUAGCAUAUAUUUAAGUUUUUGUAGUAAAAAAUAUUGUAGUUAGAUAUUGUUUGUAAAGGUCAGUCCAUCGAUUCAGUGUGCACCUACCCUUCCAUCCCUUUUUUGGCAGUGUGCUCUUGGCCUUAAUUGGCUAGGUUGCAGUUCCAAAGAUGUUACUUUGAAAAAAAUAGAAUGAUCAAAUCAAGAUUAUUCUUUAAAUACAUUAGCAUCAAAUAAAUUGAUAGGAUUUUGAUCCUAGUGUGUUGUCCAUUAAGAUUGGAGUAAUGAUUAAUAGGGACUAUUGGGGGAAUUUGUAUUUCAUUUUUAUAGGUGAAAUUAUUGGAUUUAUGAAAGACAAACCAUUGUUAAAACAUUUUCCAAGGAUGUUUUCAUUAAUCAAGAAUGAAAAUUAAGGGAUUGAAUACGAUUAAAUACCAUCCUAGUCUCAAUGAUAAAUGAUGCCGACUAGGGAUUGCUAGAUGUUUCUCUAAGGAAUCCACCAACACAUUUUGAGAAAUUAUAAUGUCUAUGUCUCAUGAGGAGUGUGGUCACAAGGAUAAAACUUAAAGGAGUUGACAAAAAGGGAACCACAAAGAGUGUAGUUUUUAGUUUAAUUUGACUUGAAACACAAGAAACAUUACUACGUCUAGACAUAGUAAGGAUUGAGAGAUUGAGAGAUCUUUCUUCAUUCUAUGGGUGGUGGUGCAUGGACAAAAUAGGAGUAUGUCUUCCAUUUGUAUAUGGGCCCCUCUAAUUAGUAUUGACUCAUAAACAAGUGGAGUAGAGUCCCAUCCAUUAUUCUCUUGCUGAAUGUCUCGGUUAGUGUCUCGAUCAAUGUAUCAAUUAUUUUUGUUUCAAUGGCUACAAUAUAUCAUAGUUGUCAAUAUAUAGGCAAGUGCCAUUUCAUGUGAAUAGUGGUGGAAACCAAGUUGGUUGCUAC
rnacentral:rRNA from 1 species